AACUCAGACAUUCUGGCUGGGAGGGAGAGGAAGAAACAAAGAAUAAAGAGAACAGAAGCAGGGAGAAAAAACAGAGGAGAAAGAGGGAUCACAAGAGACAAAACUGGAAUACAAUACAAUGCAGAACAGGAAGCUGAUUAUGAAAAUCUAUGUUAAUGAAGGUAACAGGAAAGCUUCGGCAUGAGAAAAAGAAGGAAGAAGAAAACAGAGCAGACAAAAAGGAUGGAGAGAGGAAAAAAGAAACUAGGAGAGAAUGAAGGAAGCAAAGAAAAUUAUUUUUUUAUAAAUGUAACUCAGACAAGGCCUAAUCCUUCAGACUUUUUGUGCAGGCAAAAAUCAUUAAUUAAUUUGCAGAAUCAGAGCCACAAUAUUGAAGAUCAUUUAUGAAUAUGUUAUGAAUAUGCACAGCACUGGGGGAACCCACUUGGAUGAACUGCACCAUUGGCCUACAAGGAAUAACUUGCAGCAUGUUGGCAGUGUUGUAGGCUGCCAUCAGGUCAAUAAGAACUGCACCAACUUUCUUUCCUGAUUCAAAUGCAUCUUCUAUGCCCUGAGUCAGAGGAUGUAGUUGAUUUUGGGUGCAUUGUCCCCUGCAUCCAGCCUGAACAUGAGGCAGUGGAAGUUUCAACAACAUCAUUAAUCCCCAUCAGGAUUAGUCUUUGCAUAGCUUAUCGGUUUCUUCAGGAUCUAGAAAAUCACCUAUCUGCUCCUUGUCUUGCCUGGUGAGUGACAGCAACCUUAGAAAUGGGAAACACAACAGUAUUCUUACUGCAAAAAGUGAAGCCAUAAACAACUACAACAAAAGCCUAGAUGAAAAGAUAGAAAUGUCUCAAUCUUCAGUCCUGCCAAAAGAACGAACAAACCAGUUCAUUACUGAAAGCCUGAGAAAUCUGCACUAUAAUUCUGUGAUGCAUAUUCCUAAUUGUAUUGUAUUCACUGACUGGGACAGGAGGGGGCGGGAAAACACACCUACUGUCAAGGUUCCUUUUUUACCAACUUAUCGGUGCAUGCCCUUGACCACAGUACAAAAAAGCAUUUACCAGCACUCUGCAGGUGAAAGGCUAUUCUGCAGUAUAAAUUGUACAUCUUAGAAACAGCAUUUUUUUAAGCACUGAAAAGCUAUUCAAGAAUUCCUGUAUCUGUAGGCUAAGUGGUUUGCUUCAGCCCGGGGGCCGACAAUGCUGAUAUUUCAAGAAACCUAAUCUCUUAAUGAUUGGGAUCAGAGGAAUGGGUAUGGCCAUGAAAGAGACAGCUUGAAACAGGCCUAAUCUCAGGCAUAUCUGAAUUUACAAACAGAGCAGAGAGUCAGCAUUGCCACCAACAUUGUUUCAACUGACUGCAAUCUGUCUAUCCCAGGGUGGUCCAUCCAGCAAGAUUGAAUUCCACAUCCUAUCCCACACUGAAAUUUCUUACUCACGGAUACCUUCUCAUGACAGAACUAUCACAUUUGUUCUCUUUGCACUGAAUGCAAUGGAAAUGUGGGACUGCCAUUAUGCAGAACUACCACUGUGAGGUAAGUAGGCAUCCCUUCCAUCCAACAAUGGCAGUGCAAACCCCCAGAGACAAAACAAACACUCCCACUUGGCUUUGCUUUAUUUGGAAAGCAAAUAUGAGCCUGCCCAUGACCAUAGAUUUUCCUGGUUCUGUCUUGUAACUAGCUCACCUCUGCAUUAGAUUCCAGUCUAUAAAGUACAGACUCUUUCUAUUAGUUUUAAAAGACUGGGUAUUAUUUUUCAUGGAAAAUCCAAAUGUUUUCCAAUUCAGGUCACUCCCCAUAUCAGUGAAGCACAACACUAAUCAGUACUGGUGCACGCACUGUGGCCUCUGCUUUCCUUAUCAGUCCAUAUCAGGGCAGUCAUAUGUAACAGUAUAUUUUUUUUCCUUUUUCGUUUUUGUAAUAGUGCCUUGCUGGAUCUUCUCAAAUAAACUAAUCUUCCUCUGCUUCUUCACAGUAUGCAGAUGUUUCUGUUUGCAAAAAAAUACACAGUAAUUCAUAAAAAAGGAUUUGAAAUUGUGUCAGCUAUAGGGAUCUAAACCAGCAUAAUAAUCCUUUAAUGUUUAAUUUUGGAUUGGGGUAGGGAGUCAUUCUAUAAACCACAAAGAUCUGUCAGCAACUGUAACUGAAGUCCAGAAAUAUCACACCGGCACCUGCAAUGCUGGUUUCCCCUGCCUUGAUUCCAACAGUAAAGGAAAGGGCCACCCUUACUGGCAUAGUAAUAUAAUGCAAUAAUGCUAACUAAUUUCCAAGCCUUUUCAGCAAUAAUUAGGGUUUGGUAAUUGACCCAAUUAACAUGCCAUUUGUGGGUCACCAUUUUCUUAGUAAUGCUCAUUGGUAAGAGGUGACAUUUGGGGGGGGGGUUAAAAGCUGAUGUGUUUUUGUUGCAGAGAAAAUGGGAUGACUAUGACUAUACUUACUUAUCUAGAGGGGGGAAAAGGUCACUUGGCUCCAUGAUGGGUUCACAUAAUUAUCUGGACACACAAAAUGCGGCAUUCUAAUUUUUUCCUGAACAGAACAGCAGUGGCUUUCAGUCAGCGAUAAGUUUAGUCUGUGGGAGUUUGGUUUUAGAUCAGUUUUCUGUUUGGUGUUGCUUUUAUUGACAAAUAUAACAUACAGGUAAGAUAGGGGUGAUGGACUCAAAAAUGGAGAGGAAGUUUAAAUAGAUUUUGUAAUGUGUAUUUCAUGGGUUUAAUCUAUCUAUCUAUCUAUCUAUCUAUGCAUUUCUAAUGCAGUCAUCAUCACAAAACCUAAAAUCCGAGACUUCCAAUAAUAAAAACAACUAGGAGACGUCUACUAGGAUCUGAGUGGAGAAGAGCAAUCUCAAUUUAAACUUGACCUACAAAGCUAAAGGGUGACUCCAGUUCUGAAAUAUACCAAGACAGAAAGAUCUUUGUUUAUUGAAUUGUCCUAGCAUAAAGGUCCAUUCUGAAUGGCAGAAUACAUGUUCUUAUAGUUAAGUUUUGGAUAACAAAAAAAAAGAAAAAGAAAAAAGAGACUCUAUACAACUUAUGAAUGCUGUUUAAGAUCAUGAACUCUGUAUGUAUCUUUAUCAGACUGCAAACUCCAAUUUGAAUGUGAGAGCUAGUUGCCUUCUCUGUUGUCUCUUUACCUCAAUGUUGGACUGCGAUUUCAAGCAGUAGUGAUAAAGGGCUGAAAACAAUAUCAUUAAAUCAGGACAGUCCUCUUUACAAAUACAAAACAUCCUAUAGAAUAUGCCAGCUCCCGCUUAGGAAAACUGGUUUGUUGGGGGAGAGGUCAUCUCCCCAUGAAGUUACAUAGUAGGGGUCUGAUCUCUUGAGGAGGUUUAACAGAGAGUCUCCUGGCAAAGGAGAUUGGAAGGUUAUAAAAAGGGCAAGAGCUACUCUGUUUGGGAUCUUCAGCCACUUCUACGAGCUCAAGCAGAGGAUAGAUGUGGUAGGAAUCUGAUGAGGCAGAGGGAAUCCUCCACACUUGAACUCCAACUGUCCCCCCAAGGACUACCAAGGGAAGAGAGAGCUAGAGUGAGGGGCACAGCCUUGAGAAGGGAGGUUGUUUUCUGCCUCAGCUGCACUCUGUGCUUUAUCUAUUGAGUAAAGAACAACGGUGAUUUAGAAUCCUGUGCCAAGUCUGCCUGUAUUUUACAUGCUACACCUAUCUCAUGCUCUUGAACGAUUAACCUGUGGACCCAGAAAACCCACAUGGCUGGAGUUCUGGGAGAGGAUGUGUUUAAGAUAUGGGAGAAGUCUGAGGGGCCAGCACUCGUCUCAAGUGCUGUGCAGUUUGACCACAUGGUCUCAGCUCUGAGGGAGUGCUGCUGGACAGAGGGUCUGCUCCCUGAGUGUGUGCUGCCAUGCCUGGACUCUGUUCAGACCCCAGAGGCUUAAACCACAUAGGAUCCAUUGGUUUGGGGAGUGGCCAAGAGGGAUCGCUUGACUAGUUCUGUGACAAGUAAUGUAAAAAUUGCUACAUAUAGUAGCAAUAAUUAUGCGUAUCUGCAAUAAUAAAACUACGGUGAUUAUUUGCUCUAAGUGCCUAUUGCUAAGGUAUCUUAAUAAAUGGGAGGUCAUUUUACAGCUAACAAAAUGACUAGGUUUAAACUUUAAUGCUGUUUGAGUGCACAAGUGCAUGCAUGCACACACGCUCUGAGAGCAAAAUUUAGACGAUGAGGUGAAGAUUUUCAAAAUUCCGGUGGGAGCUGCUGGGAGCUCAGCACUUCUGAAAAUCAGGCCACUUAGUUUGGUACCUAAGAUGGACUUAGGGGCCUACCUUUGAAAAUCUUGACCUACGUUAUAUUUUAAGAAUUGUGCACUCAGAUACUGAAAGGCAGAGAUAUGAUUCUCAGUUCAAACACGGACUCUAGUGACACACUAAAAACUCAAGAUGGAUACUACAAAAAAGGAGAAUUUGGCCUCUCCAAAGAGAUUCUGCCAACUUUGAUUUACACAAAACUACCAAUAUGUUGAUUGUACAGUUGCCAGAAGUCCCUUAUUACAAGGGAUGUCCUUAUUUUUUUAAUCUCUGUACAACAAGAUUGGGAGUUACUUAGUGCUGCAAAAAGCAGGAAGUAAUACCCCUGCUGAAUGUAGAUGAGUACCGCUUAUUAAUAAAAUAAAUAAAUAUCAGGAGGAGGAGUGGGGAGAGGGUACUAAGAAAACAGUCCCUUAUUUUUGAAAUACAGCACUGGCAACCCUAGCCUUGAUUCUCAUGUUCUCAUAGCAUUUACAAUAGCAAGCAUUGCAACAGGAACUAACAAAAGCUGAUCUUAUUGUGAAUCAUUUGUAUGUAUUAGGACAAGCAAGCCCUGCUGUAAGAGUAGAAAUAAAAAUUAAGGCUGUCAAGAGAUUAAAAAAAUU